ACAAAAAGUACUCGUGCGUAUGUGUGUAUAUCUUUAGAACACCAUUCUAAGAUUAGCUUUUAUAAAAACUACUCGUGCGUUGGUACAGAACCAUGAAGAUACUCUUUACAUUGUUUCUACUCUUCGUGUUAAGUAUUGUGUUUACAAAUGCGCAAGGAAAUGUGAGAAAAAAUUUCAGCCAUAAAAUUAUAACGCCUCGGUUUCAAAAUAAUAUUUUCAAAUCAUUGAAAAUAAAUCUUUAAGCACAAACACCAACACAAUCAAGAUGAAAGAGUGGGAGGAAAUAUUAUAAAUAUACCCUAUACAAGGUUUAACGAGUUGAAUAGCAGACGUGAGUUAAAUUAGCUGAAAAUUCAGUAGAAAGCCAUGAAGAUCAAUGCUCGAAAACAAGAAGCUAAGGCAACAGGCCACUUGGAUUGAUAUUUACCUCCCCAUGGCCCUAUGUUCCGAUUGCACUCAAAACUUUCAAAUAGGGUGGUAUAAAGCCACCUCUGGCGUCACCAGCUAGAUUAUUUUUUACCAUGUCAAUAAUAAAAACUGCAGAAAAUCGGUAUUUUGAUUUCUC